rnacentral:rRNA from 33 species
GUGGGUUGCAAAAGAAGUAGGUAGCUUAACCUUCGGGAGGGCGCUUACCACUUUGUGAUUCAUGACUGGGGUGAAGUCGUAACAAGGUAACCGUAGGGGAACCUGCGGUUGGAUCACCUCCUUACCUUAAAGAAGC